GCAGUGGCUGUUCAGGGGUAGAAUCCUCACCUUCCAUGUGGGAGACCUGGGUUCAAUUCCUGGCCAAUGCG
rnacentral:tRNA from 1 species